AAUCAACGCUGGCGGCGUGCCUCAGACAUGCAAGUCGAACGAUUAAAGCUCUCUUCGGAGAGUGUAUAGAGUGGCGCACGGGUGAGUAACACGUAAGUAAUCCACCUUCGAGUGGGGAAUAACCCGGGGAAACCCGAGCUAAUACCGCAUAAUGCAGCGGCAUCUAAUGAUGACAGUUGUUAAAGAUUUAUUCGCUUGAAGAGGAGCUUGCGGCAGAUUAGCUAGUUGGUAAGGUAAUGGCUUACCAAGCUACGAUCUGUAACCGGUCUAAGAGGACGGUCGGUCACACUGACACUGAAUAACGGGUCAGACUCCUACGGGAGGCAGCAGUCGGGAAUUUUGGGCAAUGGGCGAAAGCCUGACCCAGCAACG
rnacentral:rRNA from 1 species